CCUACGGGUGGCAGCAGUGAGGAAUAUUGGUCAAUGGACGCAAGUCUGAACCAGCCAUGCCGCGUGCAGGAAGACGGCUCUAUGAGUUGUAAACUGCUUUUGUACGAGGGUAAACGCAGAUACGCGUAUCUGUCUGAAAUUAUCGUACGAAUAAGGAUCGGCUAACUCCGCGCCAGCAGCCGCGGUAAUACGGGGGAUUCGAGCCGUAACCGGAUUUGUUGGGUUUAAAGGGUGGGUAGGCGGUCGGAUAAGUUAGGGGUGAAAUCCCGUGGCUCAACUUCGGAAUUGCCUCUGAUACUGUUCGGCUAGAGAGAAGUUGCGGUAGGCGGAAUGUAUGGUGUAGCGGUGAAAUGCGUAGAGAUAAUAAAGAACACCGAUUGCGAAGGCAGCUUACCAGGCUACUUCUGACGUUGAGGGACGAAAGCGUGGGGAGCAAACAGGAUUAGAUACCCCAGUAGUC
rnacentral:rRNA from 1 species